AUAAUAAGUAAACAUGGUCUUUCCGGAAUUUCCUUCCGCCAUCUUGGGAUGAUAGUAACGAUCGUUACAUGUACUAUCAUCAGUUUAAUACCAGUAAAUGUUGUAGCACAAGAGUUUAAAGCUUUUCUUUCAAAAUUGUUAAUAUUUUCCGUGAGGACUAAAGAUAGGGGCUUGGUACAACAAUAAAUAGAUCCUGUGUAGUAUCUCUGUUUGAUGGGGUUUUGUGAAGUUUUGGAAUCCAGUAUAGUCUAUCGGCUGGCAUAAGGUUCAACAAAAUUCAUGAUAGAGAUGAAGUUCUGUCGCCAAUUGAAAGACCGAGGCACUUUGAAUAUCGGAACUUUUAAAAUAAGAGAAUUCAGGUACUGUAGUCCUUUUCAUCUAUAUCAACAUCACCAGUAAUGACAUUUCCAGCUGGACUAUAGUUAAAAGAACAAGAACAUGUGGAUUUUGUAUGCGAUGGUCACUGUAAAGUUUGUUCGUAUUUGGAUGCAAUGGUGGAAGUGUAUAGGUAUAAAAUACAGAGUAUAGACUUGAACUUAAAGUAGGACGGAAUGUUGGCGGUAUCUAUACUUUUGUUUUCAGUGAACAGACGGUGUGAUUCGGUGGGAUUAUUAUCCGAAAAGUGCAUUGGUUUAAAGGGCCUGUGACAUCCAUAAUCUGUACUCUGGCGUGGAAAAAUACAUGUGUGGACUAGCUUUAGCUUCUUUAAUUAUCCCUUUCAAAUCUUGCGAAAAACCAGAGUAAAAGUUUUGUGCGAAUACGAUGUACACCUAAUUGUCUAUUGAUAUUAAAAAAGUGAGAUAUAUAGUAGGGGUUGUUUUUUUGUUGGUAUGGACGCUUCCUCUUAUAGACAAUACGGCAAUACAGUUUUUAUAACAUAUCGAAUAUAAUGUUUCCAAAGUAUCCAAACUUCAGUUAGAAAGAAAUGAAUAAAUAUUUCAUAGAAACUUGUUUACCCGAUUCACAAAUUGGAGAAAUAGGCGGAAAUACAAAUUUUUGUGUUGCGCUGGUGAACCCGGUAAAACGAUAAUCUUAUCUGUUCGUACUGACUCAUGAUCAGCAAUGAUAAAAAGUACUAUCUUACUGUUACAUGCAUAUCUGAUAUUUCAUCUCUGAGGACUUAACACCCCAUAGAAAAUUCACCAUGGGAAAAUUCCUGUAUGUUAUUGCCGUUCUUUUGGUCUUGAAUUUCAUCAGUUAUGAAGCAACAACAACACUACCAUCACCAACAACACCUCAAAAUACAUCAUCAGUGGUUUCAAUGACGUCUGGAUCAAAUACGACACCCACACCGUCAACCACCACAAAAGCGGGAAGCGGAGCACCCACCGUAACCGCCGGCGUUCUCACGAUCUUCAUCCAUUUAUUUGUCUGUCGGGAAAUGUCGGUUUACUGGGUAUAAUAGAGACGGUGUAUUGUUGAAAAUACAUUUGUGAUGAUAAAGAUUGAUUUUAUUUCAAAUCUAUUAAGUUUGAAAAGAUGAUAGGGAAAUCAUAUUGCCCGGCAAAAGUAGCGAUAAAUACUUUAUAUCAUAUUGUUAUGUAAUAUCAAUAAUAAUGUUACCUUUCACAUUAUGUAAUAUCAAUAAUGUUACCUUUCACAUUAUGUAAUAUCAAUAAUGUUACCUUUCACAUUAUGUAAUAUCAAUAAUGUUACCUUUCACAUUAUGUAAUAUCAAUAAUGUUACUUUUCACAUUAUGUAAUAUCAAUAAUGUUACCUUUCACAUUAUGUAAUAUCAAUAAUGUUACCUUUCACAUUAUGUAAUAUCAAUAAUGUUACCUUUCACAUUAUGUAAUAUCAAUAAUGUUACCUUUCACACUAUGUAAUAUCAAUAAUGUUACCUUUCACACUAUGUAAUAUCAAUAAUGUUACCUUUCACACUAUGUAAUAUCAAUAAUGUUACUUUUCACAUUAUGUAAUAUCAAUAAUGUUACUUUUCACAUUAUGUAUUAUUAAUCAUAUUCACCUUUCACGUUGUUAUGUAACAUCAGUACGGUAUUAAACUCGUCAGAACUCGC